GAUGCAAAACUCAGAUAUCUUCCACCUCUACUUAUCUGAGUGCAGAGAGGAGGACAGAGAACAGUGGACACACAGUUUAACAUGAUGGACUAUAGGACAGGACUGCUGCUUUUAACUCUCUGCUGGGCAGGUGUUGAUGGUCAGACUCUGACAGAAUCUGAACCAGCGGUUAAAAGUCCUGGAGAAUCCCACAGAUUGACCUGUACCACAUCUGGGUUUAAUUUAGGCAGCUAUCACAUGGCCUGGAUCAGACAGGCUCCUGGAAAAGGACUAGAGUGGAUUGCCUGGAAUAGUAACGGUGGCACCAAAUACUACUCUCAGUCAGUUCAGGGCCGGUUUACCAUCUCCAGAGACGACAGCAGACAGCAGCUCUAUCUGCAGAUGAACAGUCUGAAGACUGAAGAUUCUGCUGUUUAUUAUUGUGCUCGAGACCCACAGUGACUGGAGUUGGUUGAGCAGCUGUACAAAAUCCUACAGUACUCAUU